CCUACGGGUGGCAGCAGUAGGGAAUCUUUCACAAUGGGCGAAAGCCUGAUGGAGCAACGCCGCGUGCAGGAUGAAGGCCUUCGGGUUGUAAACUGCUUUUAUAAGCGAGAAAUAUGAGGGUAACUUAUGAAUAAGGAUCGGCUAACUACGGGCCAGCAGCCGCGGUCAUACGUAGGAUCCGAGCAUUAUCCGGAGUGACUGGGUGUAAAGAGUUGCUUAGGUGGCAUAAUAAGUAGCUAGUGAAAUCUGGUGGCUCAACCAUUCAGACUAUUAGCUAAACUGUUAAGCUCGAGACCGUUAGGGGUAACUGGAAUUUGUAGUGUAGGAGUGAAAUCCGUAGAUAUUAGAAGGAACACUAAUAGCGUAGGCAGGUUGCUGGGACGGUUCUGACACUAAGGCACGAAAGCGUAGGGAGCAAACGGGAUUAGAUACCCUUGUAGUC
rnacentral:rRNA from 1 species